rnacentral:rRNA from 1 species
ACACGUGGUUAACCUGCCCUUAGGUCGAGAAUACACUCGGGAAACUGAGGAUAAAGCUCGAUAGAAGAUGAUUUCUGGAAUGAGUUAUCUUUGAAAUUCGAGCCUAAGGAUGGGACUGCGGCUGAUUAGGUAGUUGUUGAGGUAAGAGCUCAACAAGCCAAUGAUCAGUAAGGGCUCUUAGCGGAGGUGCCCUGAGAAGGACUCUUAGACACUAGUCCUAGCCCUACGGGGUGCAGCAGUCGGGAAUUUUCUGCAAUGCGCGAAAGCGUGACAGAGUGAACCAAAGUGUUUCUUUUUUAAAGAAACUUUUGCCAGCUGUAAAAAGGCUGGCGAAUAAGGACUGGGCAAGACCGGUGCCAGCCGCCGCGGUAAUCCCGGCAGUCCAAGUCGCAGCCACAAUUAUUGGGUCUAAAAUAUCCGUAGCUUGCUUGAGAAGUCUCUCGUGAAAUCUUAAAUCUUAAGUUUAAGGCGAGCAAGAGAUACUCUUGAGCUGGAGACCGGCAGGCGUAAAAAGUACAUUGGGAGUAGUGGUAAAAUAUUUUAAUCCUCGAUGGACUCACAGUCGCGAAGGCGUUUUACGAGGACGGUUCUGACAGUGAGGGAUGAAGGCUAGGGGCGCAAAAGGGAUUAGAUACCCCUGUAGUCCUAGCAGUAAACACUGCGCACUAAACAUUAGUACCUCCUCGAG